AGAGGGCAUCUUCUUGUUUUUAAAAGACCUAGCAAUAGGUAUGCUUAGGGAGGAGCUUGCGUCACAUUAGUUAGUUGGUGGGGUAAAGGCCUACCAAGACUAUGAUGUGUAGCCGGGCUGAGAGGUUGAACGGCCACAUUGGGACUGAGACACGGCCCAAACUCCUACGGGAGGCAGCAGUAGGGAAUUUUCGGCAAUGGAGGAAACUCUGACCGAGCAACGCCGCGUGAACGAUGAAGUAUUUCGGUACGUAAAGUUCUUUUAUUAGGGAAGAAUAAAUGAUGGAAAAAUCAUUCUGACGGUACCUAAUGAAUAAGCCCCGGCUAACUAUGUGCCAGCAGCCGCGGUAAUACAUAGGGGGCAAGCGUUAUCCGGAAUUAUUGGGCGUAAAGGGUGCGUAGGCGGUUAAAUAAGUUAAUGGUCUAAGUGCAAUGCUCAACAUUGUGAUGCUAUAAAAACUGUUUAGCUAGAGUAAGAUAGAGGCAAGUGGAAUUCCAUGUGUAGUGGUAAAAUGCGUAAAUAUAUGGAGGAACACCAGUAGCGAAGGCGGCUUGCUGGGUCUUUACUGACGCUGAGGCACGAAAGCGUGGGGAGCAAACAGGAUUAGAUACCCUGGUAGUCCACGCCGUAAACGAUGAGUACUAAACGUUGGGUAAAACCAGUGUUGAAGUUAACACAUUAAGUACUCCGCCUGAGUAGUACGUACGCAAGUAUGAAACUUAAAGGAAUUGACGGGACUCCGCACAAGCGGUGGAUCAUGUUGUUUAAUUCGAAGGUACCCGAAAAACCUCACCAGGUCUUGACAUGCUUCUGCAAAGCUGUAGAAACACAGUGGAGGUUAUCAGUUGCACAGGUGGUGCAUGGUUGUCGUCAGCUCGUGUCGUGAGAUGUUGGGUUAAGUCCCGCAACGAGCGCAACCCUUAUUGUUAGUUACCAGCACGUAAUGGUGGGGACUUUAGCAAGACUGCCAGUGAUAAAUUGGAGGAAGGUGGGGACGACGUCAAAUCAUCAUGCCCCUUAUGACCUGGGCUACAAACGUGAUACAAUGGCUGUUACAAAGGGUAGCUGAAGCGCAAGUUUUUGGCGAAUCUCAAAAAAACAGUCUCAGUUCGGAUUGAAGUCUGCAACUCGACUUCAUGAAGUUGGAAUCGCUAGUAAUCGCGAAUCAGCAUGUCGCGG
rnacentral:rRNA from 1 species